AAAAUCGGUCCAUUCAUUUCAACUUCAAAUAGAGUAAAUCGGAUGAAAGGACUUUCCCCAAAUUAAGCAAGCAAACCCUCUUGGAGAGCGAUUUCUCCUGCGGCGGAGCCAUUUGUUAAUCGUUCGCGUGUAUUGAACUUCUUCAACGUCGAUGCCUUCAUCUUCGACGAGAUCUGUUGCAAAUUGUUGGUAAGUUGUUUGUUUUGCUAAGUUGAGAGAGGAUUGAAGUAGAAAAAAUAUGGAAGAACAAUGAAGAGAAAAUGUUACCAUUGUGUUGGUGGUGUAGAAAAUCAAUAUUGGAGGGUUUCAUUUGUGAAGGGUAAUGAGUUGAGAGCGAUUGAAGAAGUAGAAUGAUAUGGAAGAACAAUGAAUUGAAAAUGUUACCACUAUAUUGGUGGUGUAUAAAAUCAAUGUUGGUGGGUUUCGUUUGUGAAGGGUAAUGGUACGUUGAAUCUGAAAAUGACCUUCAAAUUUUUUUUGGUUAAUUUUUUCUUAUUGGAAAUGGGGCUUGUUCAUGUGAAAAUGAGCUUCAAAAGAUGAUUGCUUCAUUUGAAGUUCAGAAAAUACGGUGAUUAGCGUCAUUCACUCUUCAAGAGUCUGAGUCGACUGUUGCUCAUCCUCAUAUGUUACGAACUGGGAACAAUUAACAUUUUUGAAUUUUACUGCAAAAUCAUGUAACGUAACUGCAUUCUUACCUUCAUUUGUUUUACUACAUAUGCAAUUUUGUUGCUAAUUUUCUAGUUGAUCCCCAUCUAAGAAUGGAAGGAAAGAAUCGUGGCAUAUGCCACAGUUGUAGGUCUAUGAGCACUUGUUUAUAGAUUGCCCAAACAAGCGAGAAUGUACGUGGUGUCAACAUGUAUUUGUUAAGUGCUUUGAGGUGGAGAAGGCGCCGAAGAACAAAGGUAAGUUGCUCAAAUGUUGUGAAACUAACUAUGGAUACUCAAAGUGGCUUGGGGACGGUGAAUCCAGCGGCAACUCAAGGACGAGUACAGUUAAGGCGACUACUCCUACGAUGAAGAACGCAAUCCAAGACAUAUCUGGCAUGUUGGAAUCUCUACUUUAGUUAAACGAUGAACAAGAAAUGAAUAUUUCUUUGAAUCUUACAAUCUGCAAAGGUAAAGCAAGCAGCAAAGGGGAUGAGAAAGGAAAGGAAAGAGCCGGACUUGAUUAUAAUGUAUAAAUCGAGCUUGUUGUGUAACUUAUGCUAGUAUGUGGAUUGUGCAAGUUGUAUUUUGAUGCUAUGUACGCUGUGGUCUAUAAAUGUACCCCUUGUUUUAUUAAACUUGUUGUUCCAUACA